GCCAUGCCCAGCUAUUUUAGUAGAGACGGGGUUUCACCAUGUUGCUCAGGCUGGUCUCAAACUCAAGUGAUCCACCUGCCUCGGUCUCCCAAAGUGCUGGAAUUACAGGCGUGAGCCACCACUCCUUACCUGUCUUUCUCUCUUUCAAACAUAUGCAGUGAUAUAUGUACAAUCGUUAUGAUCAAGUGUGUGUGUGCGUGCAUGUGUGUGGAUUCUUUCCCUAAAUUAUUCUCUUAACUCCUACAGAAAUCAGUACUCAAGUGUAUUGAACAGGAAGGGGUUGGGUAUUUCCUUUCUUUAAUUAAAACAAUAAUUACCUAUCCUGGUGUUUGAGACCGAGUGAGCCUUACCUUAUGGUGUUUUAAUUUGUGUGGCUUGGUGGAGUGGUAAAUGAAUGAACAGCUGUUGACUCCUCCAAACAGCUGUGUUUCCUGAAGCCAUGUAUUAAAGCCAGGGCCAGAUUCAAUGCCAGGAGCCUGCUUGGUGAACAACAGAGUUCUUGAAUUGAAAUCAGAGAUAUAGCAGAGUUUGACACUUGGAGCCAGAGAGACCUGGGUUUGAACCCUAGUCCCACUAUGCGAUAGUUGGGUACCUGGGGCAUAUUUUCCACCUCUCUGAGCCUCCACUUUCCCAUCUGCAAAAUGGGACUAAUAAUCCUAGUACCUUCCUCAUUGUGUUGUGAGGAGGAUUAAAAAGAGAGAAUGUCUGUCAAGUGUUUGGCAAAGUAGUUGGCACUCAGUAAAUAUUAGUUAUGGUCUUUGUUGAUAUCUCAGGAUUACUAAGCAGCCACUUGAGAACUGGAACAGGGACCCUGACCCAAGCCCACUGGGAAUACAAGAGGAUUCAGAUUUCAACUGGAGUGCAGUGGCGCGUUCUUGGCUCAUGG
rnacentral:lncRNA from 10 species